UGCACUCUGAGCGUCAUAACCUGCACCAUGUCCAUGAUCCUGGGUUCCUGGGACGUCCGCGGGCUGGCCCAUGCCAUCCGCCUUCUCCUGGAGUACACAGACACAAACUAUGAGGAGAGACAGUACUCGGUAGGAGAUGCUCCCGAAUAUGACAGAAGCCAGUGGCUGAAUGAAAAAUUCAAGCUGGGCCUGGACUUCCCCAAUCUGCCCUACUUAAUCGAUGGGACUCACAAGCUCACCCAGAGCAAUGCCAUCCUUCGAUACAUUGCUCGCAAGCACAACAUGUGUGAGUAGGGCUGGAGUCGGGAGGAGAUGAUUCGUGUGGACAUUUUGGAGAACCAAGUUAUGGAUGUCCGUUUUGCCAUGGUCAGGAUCUGCUAUAGCCCUGACUUUGAGAAACUGAAGCCUGGUUUCUUGAAGGAGAUCCCUGAAAAAAUCAAGCUGUUCUCAGAGUUUCUGGGGAAGAGGCCUUGGUUUGCAGGGGACAAGCUCACCUAUGUGGAUUUCUUGGUUUACGACGUCCUUGACAUGCACCGCAUAUUUGAGCCCAAGUGCCUGGAUGCAUUCCCAAACCUGAAAGACUUCAUUGCUCGUUUUGAGGGCCUGAAGAAGAUCUCUGCCUACAUGCAGUCCAGCCGCUUCCUCCCAGGCCCUCUGUUCCUGAAGCUUGCCGUGUGGGGCAACAAGUAGUGCGUGCAACCAGGAGACGGGCGCGAGGAGCCAGGGCCCCGGAGACCAGGCGGACCUUUCUGCACACAGAACCUUUGGUGUUUUUCUUUCUCUUUCUGUUCACUCUAGAGGGCUGCUUGGCCCCCUUAUCUCCCUCCCACACCCCUUUCCAUCCCUACUUUAAAGAUUGUUUCCCACUAUUUUUGAGCAAAGUUCCUCCCCUACCCCACAUUAUCCCUGCUGCAUUAAAGCCACCCAGACUAUUCUUCCCUUCCAUGAUUACUUCUGCGGUGAGGAGCCCAGCCAGACCCCUGGCCCACGGGGUUCUGCUCUGAACUCCCAGCGCUGCAGGUCUGAAGACCAGACUUGGUCUGGUGUACAAGCCCUGCUUCCCUGUGUGUUUCCUGCCCAGCCUGUCUGAUCCCCAAUAAAGCCUUAAUCACA